UACGUAGGGGGCAAGCGUUGUCCGGAUUUAUUGGGCGUAAAGAGCGUGUAGGCGGCCGCACAGGUCCGUUGUGAAAACUGGAGGCUUAACCUUCAGACGUCGAUGGAAACCGUGCGGCUAGAGUCCGGAAGAGGAGAAUGGAAUUCCUGGUGUAGCGGUGAAAUGCGCAGAUAUCAGGAAGAACACCCGUGGCUAAGGCGGUCUCUAGUACGGUACUGACGCUGAGACGCGAAAGCGUGGGGAGCGAACAGG
rnacentral:rRNA from 1 species